CCUAGCGGCGUGCCUAAUAAUGCAAGUCGAGCGAACGGACGAGAAGCUUGCUUCUCUGAUGUUAGCGGCGGACGGGUGAGUAACACGUGGAUAACCUACCUAUAAGACUGGGAUAACUUCGGGAAACCGGAGCUAAUACCGGAUAAUAUUUUGAACCGCAUGGUUCAAAAGUGAAAGACGGUCUUGCUGUCACUUAUAGAUGGAUCCGCGCUGCAUUAGCUAGUUGGUAAGGUAACGGCUUACCAAGGCAACGAUGCAUAGCCGACCUGAGAGGGUGAUCGGCCACACUGGAACUGAGACACGGUCCAGACUCCUACGGGAGGCAGCAGUAGGGAAUCUUCCGCAAUGGGCGAAAGCCCGACGGAGCAACGCCGCGUGAGUGAUGAAGGUCUUCGGAUCGUAAAACUCUGUUAUUAGGGAAGAACAUAUGUGUAAGUAACUGUGCACAUCUUGACGGUACCUAAUCAGAAAGCCACGGCUAACUACGUGCCAGCAGCCGCGGUAAU
rnacentral:rRNA from 1 species